rnacentral:rRNA from 1 species
GACGAACGCUGGCGGCGUGCUUAACACAUGCAAGUCGAACGGAAAGGCCCUGCUUUUGUGGGGUGCUCGAGUGGCGAACGGGUGAGUAACACGUGAGUAACCUGCCCUUGACUUUGGGAUAACUUCAGGAAACUGGGGCUAAUACCGGAUAGGGGCUCCUGCGGCAUGUUGGGGUUGGGAAGGUUCCGGGGGUGGGGGAUGGACUCGCGGCUUUUCAGCUGGUGGGUGGGGUAGUGGCUUACCAAGGCUUGGACGGGUAGCCGGCCUGAGAGGGUGACCGGCCACAUUGGGACUGAGAUACGGCCCAGACUCCUACGGGAGGCAGCAGUGGGGAAUAUUGCACAAUGGGCGGAAGCCUGAUGCAGCAACGCCGCGUGCGGGAUGACGGCCUUCGGGUUGUAAACCGCUUUCGCCUGUGACGAAGCGUGAGUGACGGUAAUGGGUAAAGAAGCACCGGCUAACUACGUG